rnacentral:rRNA from 1 species
GGAGAAAAGCAGGGGAUCGUAAGACCUUGCGCUUUUGGAGCGGCCGAUGUCUGAUUAGCUAGUUGGCGGGGUAAUGGCCUACCAAAGCUUCGAUCAGUAGCUGGUCUGAGAGGACGGCCAGCCACACUGGGGCUGAGACACGGCCCAGACUCCUACGGGAGGCAGCAGUGGGGAAUUUUGGACAAUAGGCGCAAGCCUGAUCCAGCCAUGCCGCGUGAGUGAAGAAGGCCUUCGGGUUGUAAAGCUCUUUCAGCCGGGAAGGAAAGGCUGCGAUUAAUAAUCGCAGUUCAUGACGGUACCGGAAGAAGAAGCACCGGCUAACUACGUGCCAGCAGCCGCGGUAAUACGUAGGGUGCGAGCGUUAAUCGGAAUUACUGGGCGUAAAGGGUGCGCAGGCGGUUUUGUAAGUCAGAUGUGAAAUCCCCGGGCUUAACCUGGGAAUUGCGUUUGAAACUACAAAGCUAGA